UCAAGUGAUUACUGACACCUGUGGCCUGUGUGUGUGAGAGGGAGAGGAUGAAGACUAUUUUUGCAGAAAGAGGGAAGUGGAAACAGUCAGGGGGAUUGUGGAUCAGGAAAUCUAAAAGGAAAUAAGGACGUUUGGACAACAUAACUGGAGUGGGCUGAGAUUUAAGCUGCCUUUCUUUGCUUUAGUAAACACCUGACGUUAUUUGGACUUCUCUGAGAAGGACACUUUUGGACUUCUGGUACUACAAUGCCACUUUAUCCCUUCCAACAGCAGCAGCUAAUGACAGGAUAAUCUUCAUAAACUCGGACUCCAUACUCGCACCUAAAGGACAGGCUGGUGGUUCUCCUGGAUGAUUCCCCUACUGGCUCUCUAAAACUGGGCGGAAGUUUCAUCGGUUUCCUCUCAGGCGCAAUUAAAAAGACAUCACAUUGCCAAACGGAUCAUUUUCAGCACAUCUCUGCCUGAUUAUGGUGUUUACGAGCAGGACUGGGCACCAGCGAUGUUUCCAAACUGGGAUUCAAGGACAACUGCCAGUGGAAAUGAUUUGUUUUGCAUCCCUGCUGUGACUGAAAGGACUGCCAUUGCUGAAAAUCGAGCCAGAGAGUUGAAGCAUGCUGCUCUAGAUAUUUUUCUUCCCGUUAAAACAUCGAAACUUUGAUUUGAUAACCUGCAAAAAGCUAAAUUUACACAUUCCUGUCAAUAUGUUGAAUUCCAAGGGCACAAAAAGUGUCCUCUAACUAUAUUAGCGGGUAAACUGGACCCCUUGAAGAUGAAACUUUUUAUGCAUGUGUUUGCUGAUUUAUAAUGAUCUAUUAUUAUAAAACCCAGAGGAAGGAAACCAGCAUUAAUAAAGGUGUAAUAAGAAUUAAGUAAUUUGCUGUGUAGCUUACAAGGAAUUGUAUGUACUUCCUGGAUCCAUCUUCACAUCAGAGAACUCUAUCAUAAAUGUUUUGAUAUGUUUGGAAAUUCUGUUUCCUUCUUGAAAGAAGUUUAGCUAUACAUGACAAAGCGACACAAUCUUUGAAGAUAUUUUUCAAUGUUAAAAAAUCCAUGAGAAAAAUCUCCAGUCAACACCCAGAACUUAUCACACCUUGGCCUGUUCUUUGAGAUGUCUUAUUAAACAGUGGGACAAAAGGAACAGGGAUGUCAGGAAGUCAGAUUGCUUUGACUCCUUCGCAGAGGUUAAACUUGUUGAAAUCAGCCGAAGGAAUAAAAUUACAUUCACAUUAA